rnacentral:rRNA from 1 species
ACGGAAGGCAGCAGUGGGGGAUAUUGCACAAUGGGGGAAACCCUGAUGCAGCGACGCCGCGUGAGUGAUGAAGUAUUUCGGUAUGUAAAGCUCUAUCAGCAGGGAAGAAAAUGACGGUACCUGACUAAGAAGCUCCGGCUAAAUACGUGCCAGCAGCCGCGGUAAUACGUAUGGAGCAAGCGUUAUCCGGAUUUACUGGGUGUAAAGGGAGCGUAGACGGUGAAGCAAGUCUGAAGUGAAAGCCCGGGGCUCAACCCCGGAACUGCUUUGGAAACUGUUUGACUAGAGUGUCGGAGAGGUAAGUGGAAUUCCUAGUGUAGCGGUGAAAUGCGUAGAUAUUAGGAGGAACACCAGUGGCGAAGGCGGCUUACUGGACGAUAACUGACGUUGAGGCUCGAAAGCGUGGGGAGCAAACAGGAUUAGAUACCCUGGUA